rnacentral:rRNA from 1 species
AUUGAACGCUGGCGGCAGGCCUAACACAUGCAAGUCGAACGAGUGGCGGACGGGUGAGUAAUGUCUGGGAAACUGCCCGAUGGAGGGGGAUAACUACUGGAAACGGUAGCUAAUACCGCAUACCAUCAGAUGUGCCCAGAUGGGAUUAGCUUGUUGGUGGGGUAACGGCGCACCAAGUGGACGAUCCCUAGCUGGUCUGGGAGGAUGACCAGCCACACUGGAACGAGGACACGGUCCAGACUCCUACGGGAGGCAGCAGUGGGGAAUAUUGCACAAUGGGCGCAAGCCUGAUGCGGCCAUGCGGCGUGUAUGAAGAAGGCCUUCGGGUUGUAAAGUACGUUCAGCGGGGAGGCGUUACCCGCAGAAGAAGCACCGGCUAAAUCCGUGCCAGCAGCCGCGGUAAUAC